rnacentral:rRNA from 1 species
AUUGAACGCUGGCGGCAGGCUUAACACAUGCAAGUCGAGCGGGGUGAAGUGCUUCGGUACUGAUCCUAGCGGCGGACGGGUGAGUAAUGCUUAGGAAUCUGCCAUUUAGUGGGGGACAACAUUCCGAAAGGAAUGCUAAUACCGCAUACGUCCUACGGGAGAAAGCAGGGGAUCUUCGGACCUUGCGCUAAAUGAUGAGCCUAAGUCGGAUUAGCUAGCUGGUGGGGUAAAGGCCUACCAAGGCGACGAUCUGUAGCGGGUCUGAGAGGAUGAUCCGCCACACUGGGACUGAGACACGGCCCAGACUCCUACGGGAGGUAGCAGUGGGGAAUAUUGGACAAUGGGCGGAAGCCUGAUCCAGCCAUGCCGCGUGUGUGGAGAAGGCCUUUUGGUUGUAAAGCACUUUAAGCGAGGAGGAGGCUACCUGGAUUAAUACUCUGGGAUAGUGGACGUUACUCGCAGAAUAAGCACCGGCUAACUCUGUGCCAGCAGCCGCAGCAA